AUGGUGGUUGAAUUGAGGUGCAGGGGCGUCGGGGAAACUUGGAUGCUGCCAAGGUCAAGACCAUCGCAUCUGGUGGCCACCCGGGCUGAGCAUGCUGCUUACCUCAAGUGGAUGGAUGGACGAUGCUUCCGCAACCUCAAUCGCAAGCACUUCGCCGCUGCAUGUACGGAGCCGCUCAAGUGCUGGCGCUGCUACAAGAAUUUCCACCUUGCCAGCCAGUGCUCUCGACCAUCAUGGAAGCCCCCCUCGUCGGCUCCUUCCUUGGGGCCUCGGCCUGGUGUUGAUGUUACCUGUGGCAUGCAGGCCAGCCACGCUUCAAUGCCUCGCUGGUAUGCUGAUGCUCUCUUGGCAUCGCCCCUUGGAGAUUGCUGGGCUCGUCCUGCGGAUGGUUGCGCCCUUCCUCAUGCCCCCGUUGAGCAGGAUCUUCUUGCUGCAAUGUUGUUGGCUCGGCCAGUGGACAUCUUUUCGUGGCAGGAUGAGGCUAUGGCGCCACCUUCUCAGUUAUAG
rnacentral:rRNA from 1 species